rnacentral:tRNA from 1 species
AUUUAAUUAGUUUAAAUGUAAAAAUUUUAGUUUGUGGAGCUAAAGAUAAUGUUAUUAUUAAAUA